GAGAACAGGCAGAUGUAUAUGUAUAUGUUGUUGAUGUAGAGGUUGAUUUUAAGUCAGAGCAUACGAUAGUUGUUAAACACUUUUAAGGCUAGUGGUAAUUCAGUGGUCAGAGGACCCAGGUUCAGUUCUCAGCACCCACAUGGCAGCUUACAGUUGUCUGUAAUUCUAGUGGCUAAAUCUAAAGAACAGUAAACCAAUGUAACAUAGUUAAAAGCCAGGUGACAGCCAUGUGUCCUACUUGUUAGUGUAACUGUAAAGUCUCCUUGGGAAAUACUUUUAGACCUUCACAUGCCCAGUCACUUCACUCCGAGCAAACAAAGGAGUCACCAGGACAGCAGAAGGCAAUGCACUCUACACUGGAACCCCAGGCACCAGCUUUUCUUCCCGCCCUCCCCCUUGGUUGGUUCAUUGCUUCUCUCCAUCGCCCAGGUGUAGUUUGUUACUUUCAGAGUAUGCAGCAGCCACACUGGUACAGUGGUGCUCCCUGAACUCCACACUGGUGCAGUGGUGCUCCCUGAACUCCCUGGCUCCCUGGAGAUUCAGAAGUUACAUCAUAUCACAUUGUCUGUUUGUGUAUCUAACUGUGAAGAGACACCGAUAGCAUUUUGUUCUAAAAUGAGAUAUUGUUGAUCUGUUAGUGUCAACACUGGUUUUUAAAGUUUUAAUGCUGUACAGAGUUAAAUUCAUUUUUGAUGCAAUAUCAAUAUUUGCUUGCACUCUCUAAAUUUCUUACAGAAUAAAGUUAAGUCAGCCGGCAUUUGACUCAGAUUAUCUUUCCUUGAAUGCUUUCUCUUUUGUUUUUCUCUCCAAUUUUCUUUUAUUUGUAGAUAUCUAAGAGAAAUAUUAGUGUUGGUAUAUCUUUCUGUUUUUUUUUUAAGACACUAGUCUCACCGUGUAACCCCGGCUGGCUUCACUUGUUUUGUAGACCAGGUUGGCCUUGAACUCACAGAGAGAUAUAUAUGCCUGUCUCAGCCUCCCAAGUGCUUUUUAAGAAAUAAAUAGGGGGUUGGAGAGAUGGCUCAGCGGUUAAGAGCACUGACUGCUCUUCUAGA
rnacentral:lncRNA from 1 species